rnacentral:rRNA from 1 species
UGCGCCUACGGGGGGCAGCAGUAGGGAAUAUUGCUCAAUGGGGGAAACCCUGAAGCAGCAACGCCGCGUGGAGGAUGAAGGUUUUCGGAUUGUAAACUCCUUUUGUUAGAGAAGAUACUGACGGUAUCUAACGAAUAAGCACCGGCUAACUCCGUGCCAGCAGCCGCGGUAAUACGGAGGGCGCAAGCGUUACUCGGAAUCACUGGGCGCAAAGAGCGCGUAGGCGGGAUAGCAAGUCAGAUGUGAAAUCCUAUGGCUUAACCGUAGACCUGCGUUUGAACCUGUUAUUCUAG